rnacentral:rRNA from 1 species
GAUGAACGCUGGCGGCGUGCCUAAUACAUGCAAGUCGAGCGAACGGACGAGAAGCUUGCUUCUCUGAUGUUAGCGGCGGACGGGUGAGUAACACGUGGAUAACCUACCUAUAAGACUGGGAUAACUUCGGGAAACCGGAGCUAAUACCGGAUAUUAUUUUGAACCGCAUGGUUCAAAAGUGAAAGACGGUCUUGCUGUCACUUAUAGAUGGAUCCGCGCUGCAUUAGCUAGUUGGUAAGGUAACGGCUUACCAAGGCAACGAUGCAUAGCCGACCUGAGAGGGUGAUCGGCCACACUGGAACUGAGACACGGUCCAGACUCCUACGGGAGGCAGCAGUAGGGAAUCUUCCGCAAUGGGCGAAAGCCUGACGGAGCAACGCCGCGUGAGUGAUGAAGGUCCUCGGAUCGUAAAACUCUGUUAUUAGGGAAGAACAUAUGUGUAAGUAACUGUGCACAUCUUGACGGUACCUAAUCAGAAAGCCACGGCUAACUACGUG